ACUCAUUGUUUAAAAGCAAUGACAAGCUUGGAGUCUGAAAAUAUUUCCUCUUUAUGAGCCAUUCUUUUUCUCCUCUGCCCUCUUCCUCACUCAGCCCAUCUAUUUGCAAAGCUGCUGCCUCUCAAGCCAACAAAAUGAGAAGGAUGUGAACUGGUUGCAGGAUGGAGGCAGAACUGAGAGCAGAGGUUGAAGGGGAAUUUUCAAGUUCCACUCCUGCCUCCAUGGCCCCGUGACUUGUAAUGGCCCAGGCGCUGGCGUCAGAGACCAGGAUUUGAAAAUAGAAGAGG